rnacentral:rRNA from 1 species
UACGUAGGGCGCAAGCGUUAUCCGGAAUUAUUGGGCGUAAAGAGCUCGUAGGCGGUUUGUCGCGUCUGCCGUGAAAGUCCGGGGCUCAACUCCGGAUCUGCGGUGGGUACGGGCAGACUAGAGUGAUGUAGGGGAGACUGGAAUUCCCGGUGUAGCGGUGAAAUGCGCAGAUAUCAGGAGGAACACCAAUGGCGAAGGCAGAUCUCUGGGCCGUAACUGACGCUGAGGAGCGAAAGCAUGGGGAGCGAACAGG